rnacentral:ncRNA from 1 species
GUCAAAGUACCAGUGAGCAUGGAGGUUUGGUUGAAAUUGGUUACGACGACGUCGAGUUGGCGGCGGAGGAAGACUCGGCAUGAAGGCCAGAAAAUGGUGUGGAACGUAGUGGUAAUAGUACGCGCCCCGCUCCGAAACAAAGAAAAAGGUGCGUGCCGCACUCACGAGGGACUGCCAGUGAGAUACUGGAGGAAGGUGGAGAUGACGUCAAGUCCGCAUGGCCCUUAUGGGCUGGGCCACACACGUGCUACAAUGGCAAUGACAAUGGGAAGCAAGGCUGUAAGGCGGAGCGAAUCCGGAAAGAUUGCCUCAGUUCAGAUUGUUCUCUGCAACUCGGGAACAUGAAGUUGAAAUCGCUAGUAAUCGCGGAUCAGCAUGCCACGGUGAAUAUGUACCCGGGCCCUGUACACACCGCCCGUCACACCCUGGGAAUUGGUUUUGCCUGAAGCAUCGGACCAAUGAUCACCCAUGACUUCUGUGUACCACUAGUGCCACAAAGGCCUUUGGUGGUCUUAUUGGCGCAUACCACGGUGGGGUCUUCGACUGGGGUGAAGUCGUAACAAGGUAGCCGUNGACUGGGGUGAAGUCGUAACAAGGUAGCCGUAGGGGAACCUGUGGCUGGAUUGAAUCCUUC